GAAACAAUAAAAAUUGAGUAGACUGCAAUACAAAAACAGGGAGAGAGUACAAAAUCAGAGACGACAUAAGUUGGAAUCAAUAAAUGAUCUGAGAAGAGAGAAAAGGAAAGCGACAAACGGAUUCGUCGGCCAAAAAAUAAGACGCAGUUGACUCUAGCUCCUCCCACCCAUUACUAACCAUUCAAAAAGAGAUCCGAUCACAGAGACACUCAGAUACUGCAGAGACAAAUACGUAUACCAUAAAAGGAGGAAGAUAAACAAAAUUAAAGAGGCAUAAAUUAAUCAGACAUAAGACGAGCAAUAUAUGGAAAACUAAACUUUCUGAAUUGAGGAUAGAUUCAAGCAAACAAAUGGUUUACAAACGAUUAUGUUGAAAACGAUUCUGAGAUUCUGGGUGCAAAGAUCGAUGGAUUAAGAAAAGAUGUAUCGAAGAAGAAGGAUUCAGCGCAUUUUUGAAUUGAGUGUUCACACCAAGUUUGGAGGAAACAGAGAGAAGAAAACCCCAGAGAAGAAGAAGAAGCAAAAGAGAGCCUUUGAUGAAUAAAUUACAAAAAAGAUUACAACCCUGUACCGUCGAUUUAUUUAAUAAUUGUGAAAAGAGACAACUCUUGAACAAGAUGACGGUUCUGCAAUUCGUGAAAGCGGUGCCUUCGAGGAGCCAUGACUUGGUGAAUUGAAGACGACGAUUGAAUCGUUGACGACUUUUGAAUCGUUGACGUCAUGGACUUUAUCUUAAACAAAAUAUCAGCCAUUAGAUUAUACACUCCAAACAAAUUCCACCAUCGGAUGUCAAUUUUUUUUCCUAUAAAAAAAUGAUGACAUCAGCGGUUAGAAAAAACAGGUUUGCUAUUAUAUAUAGAU
rnacentral:lncRNA from 1 species